rnacentral:rRNA from 1 species
CCAGACUCCUACGGGAGGCAGCAGUGGGGAAUAUUGGGCAAUGGGCGCAAGCCUGACCCAGCAACGCCGCGUGAAGGAAGAAGGCUUUCGGGUUGUAAACUUCUUUUCUCAGGGACGAAGAAAGUGACGGUACCUGAGGAAUAAGCCACGGCUAACUACGUGCCAGCAGCCGCGGUAAUACGUAGGUGGCAAGCGUUAUCCGGAUUUAUUGGGUGUAAAGGGCGUGUAGGCGGGAGCGCAAGUCAGAUGUGAAAACUCAGGGCUCAACCCUGAGCCUGCAUUUGAAACUGUGUUUCUUGAGUGCUGGAGAGGCAAUCGGAAUUCCGUGUGGAGCGGUGAAAUGCGUAGAUAUACGGAGGAACACCGGCGGCGAAGGCGGCCUGCUGGACCGUGACUGACGUUGAGGCUCGAGAGCGUGGGGAGCAAACAGGAUUAGAUACCCUAGUACCA